UACGAAGGGGCUAGCGUUGCUCGGAAUCACUGGGCGUAAAGGGUGCGUAGGCGGGUCUUUAAGUCAGGGUGAAAUCCUGGAGCUCAACUCCAGAACUGCCUUUGAUACUGAGGAUCUUGAGUUCGGAGAGGUGAGUGAACUGCGAGUGUAGAGGUGAAAUUCGUAGAUAUCGCAAGAACACCAGUGGCGAAGGCGGCUCACUGGCCCGAUACUGACGCUGAGGCACGAAAGCGUGGGAGCAACAGG
rnacentral:rRNA from 1 species